UACGUAGGGGGCUAGCGUUAUCCGGAAUUACUGGGCGUAAAGGGUGCGUAGGUGGUUUCUUAAGUCAGAGGUGAAAGGCUACGGCUCAACCGUAGUAAGCCUUUGAAACUGGGAAACUUGAGUGCAGGAGAGGAGAGUGGAAUUCCUAGUGUAGCGGUGAAAUGCGUAGAUAUUAGGAGGAACACCAGUAGCGAAGGCGGCUCUCUGGACUGUAACUGACGCUGAGGCACGAAAGCGUGGGGAGCAAACAGGAUUAGAUACCCGGGUAGUCCCUGAGCGGG
rnacentral:rRNA from 1 species